rnacentral:rRNA from 1 species
ACUUUACAAUGCGGGAAAUCGUGAUAGGGGAACUCCGAGUGCCCGUAAAAUCGGGCUGUCCACCAGUUUAAAUAACUGGUGAAGAAAGGGCCGGGCAAGACCGGUGCCAGCCGCCGCGGUAAUACCGGCGGCUCGAGUGGUGGCCACUAUUACUGGGCUUAAAGCGUUCGUAGCUGGUUUGUUAAGUCUCUGGGGAAAUCUUCCGGCUUAACCGGAAGGCGUCUCAGGGAUACUGGCAGACUAGGGACCGGGAGAGGUGAGGGGUACUCCAGGGGUAGGAGUGAAAUCCUGUAAUCCUUGGGGGACCACCUGUGGCGAAGGCGCCCCACCAGAACGGCUCCGACAGUGAGGGACGAAAGCUGGGGGAGCAAACCGGAUUAGAUACCCGGGUAGUCCCAGCUGUAAACGAUGCGCGUUAGGUGUAUCAGUGACCACGAGUCACUGAGGUGCCGAAGAGAAAUCGUGAAACGUGCCGCCUGGGAAGUACGGUCGCAAGGCUGAAACUUAA